rnacentral:rRNA from 1 species
CCUACGGGGAGCAGCAGUCGAGAAUCAUUCACAAUGGGGGAAACCCUGAUGGUGCGACGCCGCGUGGGGGAAUGAAGGUCUUCGGAUUGUAAACCCCUGUCAUGUGGGAGCAAAUUAAAAAGAUAGUACCACAAGAGGAAGAGACAGCUAACUCUGUGCCAGCAGCCGCGGUAAUACAGAGGUCUCAAGCGUUGUUCGGAAUCACUGGGCGUAAAGCGUGCGUAGGCUGUUUCGUAAGUCGUGUGUGAAAGGCGCGGGCCCAACCCGCGGACGGCACAUGAUACUGCGAGACUAGAGUAAUGGAGGGGGAACCGGAAGUCUCGGUGUAGCAGUGAAAUGCGUAGAUAUCGAGAGGAACACUCGUGGCGAAGGCGGGUUCCUGGACAUUAACUGACGCUGAGGCACGAAGGCCAGGGGAGCGAAAGGGAUUAGAUACCCCAGUAGUC